CCUACGGGGGGCAGCAGUGAGGAAUAUUGGUCAAUGGACGAGAGUCUGAACCAGCCAAGUAGCGUGAAGGAUGACUGCCCUAUGGGUUGUAAACUUCUUUUAUAUGGGAAUAAAAUGUUCCACGUGUGGGAUUUUGUAUGUACCAUAUGAAUAAGGAUCGGCUAACUCCGUGCCAGCAGCCGCGGUAAUACGGCGGAUCCGAGCGUUAUCCGGAUUUAUUGGGUUUAAAGGGAGCGUAGGUGGAUUGUUAAGUCAGUUGUGAAAGUUUGCGGCUCAACCGUAAAAUUGCAGUUGAAACUGGCAGUCUUGAGUACAGUAGAGGUGGGCGGAAUUCGUGGUGUAGCGGUGAAAUGCUUAGAUAUCACGAAGAACUCCGAUUGCGAAGGCAGUUCACUGGACUGCAACUGACACUGAGGCUCGAAAGUGUGGGUAUCAAACAGGAUUAGAUACCCGAGUAGUC
rnacentral:rRNA from 1 species